UCUUCUCCCACCUCUGCUGAAUAUUCAUCAUUUCACUCUCUUCUUCUCCUCUGUUCUAUUGUGGGUCUGGGUUCUUCUGUUUCAAUUGGGAGAAGAAGAGAAGAGAAGAGAAGAGAAGAGAAGAUCUAAUUCUAUUAGGGGUUUGUGAUGCUGGGGAGGAGUAUGUGUAUGUAUGCAUGUAUCUAUUUACAUAUCUCAAGUCUCAGUUGCAGUACUGACAAUUAAACUGGUUAUACAGACACAUAUACACCCAUAACUGGACUUCCAGAUCCAUCAACCUACGGACCAGAUUAUCCAUCUCGUAUAAUCUUGUUUUAUCUCUUUCUUGAUAUUAACAGAUUCUGUGAUCGUUUUUAUUUUCUUGUUCUUUCGGGUUUCUGUCUCUCUGUUUCCCUGUUUCUCUGUUUCGUAUCUUCUGAAACAAAGGCUUACCUCUGUUCGUAUCUUUGAUUAAAAAGAAGAAACAAAGAUGGUUCAGAACUCUGCCCUUGAUAUUUCCCUCGAUGUACAUGCACAAGG
rnacentral:lncRNA from 1 species